rnacentral:rRNA from 1 species
UUUAGAGGAAGUAAAAGUCGUAACAAGGUCUCCGUUGGUGAACCAGCGGAGGGAUCAUUACCGAGUUUACAACUCCCAAACCCCUGUGAACAUACCUAUACGUUGCCUCGGCGGAUCAGCCCGCGCCCUGUAAAACGGGACGGCCCGCCCGAGGACCCUAAACUCUGUUUUUAGUGGAACUUCUGAGUAAAACAAACAAAUAAAUCAAAACUUUCAACAACGGAUCUCUUGGUUCUGGCAUCGAUGAAGAACGCAGCAAAAUGCGAUAAGUAAUGUGAAUUGCAGAAUUCAGUGAAUCAUCGAAUCUUUGAACGCACAUUGCGCCCGCCAGUAUUCUGGCGGGCAUGCCUGUUCGAGCGUCAUUUCAACCCUCAAGCUCAGCUUGGUGUUGGGACUCGCGGUAACCCGCGUUCCCCAAAUCGAUUGGCGGUCACGUCGAGCUUCCAUAGCGUAGUAAUCAUACACCUCGUUACUGGUAAUCGUCGCGGCCACGCCGUUAAACCCCAACUUCUGAAUGUUGACCUCGGAUCAGGUAGGAAUACCCGCUGAACUUAAGCAUAUCAAUAAG